CAUUACUCUCCUUUAAAUGCUCACGUAUUUGCUGCCUUUCUCCUAUCACUGCGCCUCUCUCUCAGUCACAGGUUAACUGGGUGAGAGAAGUCACUCUUUUUAUCGGUGAAAGUCAUCGUCUCUCUCUCUGAUCAGAGAUGGCAUCAAUACACACUGCAUUGACACCUGUUGUGUGCAAGAAAAGCAAAAGCUCUCCUUCAGUUAAGUUGCUGAAUACUUCCUUCCUUCUCGGCUGUGAUGUUGGUGGGCGUGCUUCAAAUGCGUGGGAAAAGGAAGUACCUACUUCCAUGAGGUACAGCCCUAGAGCUACACUAACAUUUGGUCCCUCAACUUCUAAUCCAGAAAAGACCAAACAGAGGAAACACACAGUUAAUCCUGCUGCUCCUGAUUUUCUUCCUCUUCCAUCCUUUGAACAAUGCUUUCCAAGGAGUACAAAGGAAUACAGGGAGGUUGUUCAUGAGGAAUCUGGUCAUUUACUCAAGGUUCCAUUUCGUCGGGUUCACCUUUCCGGGGAUGACACAUACUUUGACACCUAUGAUACAAGUGGUCCUCAAAAUGUUAGUCCACAUGUUGGUCUUCCAAAAAUACGCAAAGAGUGGGUGGAUAGGCGUGAAAGGUUAGGUGGACCUAGAUAUACUCAAAUGUUCUAUGCUAAAAAGGGAAUUGUCACUGAAGAGAUGUUAUUCUGUGCUGCUCGUGAGAAGCUUGAUCCAGAAUUUGUUAGGUCAGAGGUUGCACGUGGAAGGGCAAUCAUUCCUUCCAACAAGAAGCACUUGGAGUUGGAGCCAAUGCUAGUCGGAAGGAAUUUCUUGGUUAAAGUUAAUGCAAAUAUUGGAAACUCAGCUGUAGUUAGCUCCAUUGAAGAAGAGGUACACAAACUUCAAUGGGCAACAAUGUGGGGUGCAGACACUGUCAUGGAUCUCUCUACUGGUCGCCACAUCCAUGAGACCCGUGAGUGGAUCCUACGUAACUCUGCUGUACCAGUAGGGACUGUCCCCAUAUAUCAAGCCCUUGAGAAAGUAAAUGGAAUUGCAGAAAAUCUCAGUUGGGAUGUUUUCAGAGAUACGCUGAUAGAACAAGCAGAGCAGGGUGUGGAUUACUUCACCAUCCAUGCAGGGGUUCUUCUCCGUUACAUCCCAUUAACUGCGAAGCGCAUGACAGGAAUUGUUUCCCGUGGAGGAUCUAUUCAUGCAAAGUGGUGCUUGGCAUAUCACAAGGAGAACUUCGCUUAUGAGCACUGGGAUGAUAUCCUUGACAUAUGUAAUCAAUAUGAUGUCGCACUAUCUAUUGGUGAUGGACUGAGGCCUGGGUCAAUUUAUGAUGCCAAUGACACUGCUCAAUUUGCUGAGCUCUUGACUCAAGGGGAGCUGACACGCAGAGCAUGGGAAAAGGAUGUUCAGGUUAUGAAUGAAGGACCAGGACAUAUUCCAAUGCACAAAAUUCCUGAAAACAUGGAAAAGCAGCUGGAGUGGUGCAAUGAGGCACCUUUCUACACACUUGGUCCAUUAACAACUGAUAUUGCACCUGGGUAUGAUCAUAUCACAUCAGCCAUUGGUGCUGCUAAUAUUGGGGCUCUAGGAACUGCACUCCUCUGUUAUGUAACGCCAAAGGAGCACCUUGGAUUACCAAACCGGGAUGAUGUGAAAGCUGGGGUUAUAGCAUAUAAGAUAGCUGCUCAUGCGGCUGAUUUAGCUAAAGGUCAUCCACAUGCUCAAGCCUGGGAUGAUGCACUGAGCAAGGCAAGAUUUGAGUUUAGAUGGAUGGACCAGUUUGCUCUCUCUCUGGAUCCCAUGACUGCGAUGGCCUUCCAUGAUGAGACCCUGCCAUCAGAUGGUGCCAAAGUGGCACAUUUCUGUUCUAUGUGUGGACCCAAGUUCUGUUCUAUGAAGAUAACUGAGGAUGUCAGAAAGUAUGCUGAAGAACAUGGAUACGGUAGUGCUGAAGAGGCUAUGCAACAUGGAAUGGAAGCAAUGAGUGCAGAAUUUUUAGCAGCUAAGAAAACUGUUAGUGGGGAGCAGCAUGGUGAAGUUGGUGGAGAAAUCUAUUUGCCUGCAAACUAUGUUACAGGUUCAGUGGAAUGAUGAAGGGAUAUUUUCAAAAGUUUCGUUUGAGCUUCUUGGAGCCCUGUCUGGUGGAUGAUUGGCGUUCAAUAGUGGUUUAUGGUCUUCAUUCCAGGCUUUAGUCCUGGCCUUUUUUUGCUGGGAAAUGGGCAGGGCUGGCUGAGAAAGUCCCUUCGAACCUGAACAGGAUAAUGCCUGCGUAGGGAGUGUGCAUUUCCGUUUCUCCAUUUUUUUCUGUGUUUUCACAGGGAUCAGGCUUUCCAUCCAUGGUUCUGGCUAGCUGAUCCAUGUGGGGCAGCUUCAUCUUCAUGGUCAGGCUUAUUUAUCCUUGAUCUGCGGAGUAUCUAAAAUUGCUUCAGUUUUCAAUUCUUUCAUGCUUUGAUCUUAAUUUUUAAACAUCGCUGGAUACUUAACCAAUCAGCCACGUUAGUUGCAACUUUUGGGAAAUUUAGAGGAUGCAUGCUGCUGGUCCUGCAUGUGAAUUAGUGUCAUCUUUAGUUUUGCAUUCUUUCACCUCAAAACUUACUAUCUAUAUUCCUGGAUCGAUUUCCGUUUCUUCACACACUUAUUCUAUUUUCCACAUACACGUUAUCUUGGAAUUCUGCAUUGCUAUUUAACCAUGAUUUUUUUAAUAGGCAAUAACCAUAAUUUAUGUACAUAUGGAUAUUUGUUAAUCUGAGGCAACUUUACUGUCUUUCAAACCAACUUAUCAUUGUUCAAAAUAUUUUAUAUUUUUCAAUGGGUCUGUUUUUUCAACUUUUUUUCUUGUAUCAUGCUUCUGAAAUCUGAAUAUCAUGGUUCCUCCAAAUCUCACGAAAAGUGACUGUUUUGAUAUCAAACGCACUUUUUUGGUAGAGCUGCAGUCAUACAGAUUUUUAAGAAGUAUUGGGUUAUUGGUAGUUCCAUAAUUCCAAAAGAUCCAACUAACAUGGUUGAUGUCUCUUUGUGUCGGCUGAUAGUUUAAACCAUCAUCAUGGUCAAAACAUCAACAAACAACGAAUCAGACUGGCAUUACUGUGAUUAUGAGUUGUAGAUAUUGAUUAAAAUAGCUGAUUUCUCUGUGUGCAAUUCCAUCCUUGAAAUUCACAAGGUUUCGUCAUUGUCAGAUGCUGAUGGGAAAUUCCCACAUCCCAGAUCUUCCAUAUGAUAAAAGGAAAGUAAUAUAUGAUUCUUAAUGCCGUA